CUCAGUGAACCUGCUGCCAUUCCACUUAGCAGAGGUAUGUUAAGAGCUCUGCUUACUCCAGAACAGUUUCCUUCAAAGAUGAAGUCCUGAUUCCCUUAGAGCAAGCCCGGGUAUUGCUGAGAUGGUCUCAGCAAUCCCCAUCAUCAACUGUGCCACUCAUUCUUAUUUUGUCCUUUUCAUCUCUUCCUUGAGUUGUGCUCUGCUGUGCUUUAGGGAGGACCUUGCCUUCUAUUGCCAGCUCUGAAUCUUCAAACUGCCCUCAGGGAAUGCUCCUCCUGGCUAUGCUUUGGCCCCACACUUGAGACAACAUUCCAGGAUCGCCUUCAUGGGUGGGAUCCAGGAAACUUCUAUUAUAGAAGAUCAGUCUCCCCAACUAGACUGUGAGCUCCUUAAAGCAGGAAUUGUUAUAAUUAUUUUCACUGCCAAACUCGGCAUCUGGCAUAUCGUAUGCACUCAGGGAAUGUCUACGGAAUGAAUGAACUUAAGGAUAAUACACGUGACAGAAUGUUAAAAUGGAAGUUUUGGCUGAGAUCUAAAGAUGACAGAUAUAAGAUACCAAAGCGAACUGGAAACAGACCACCCUGAAGAAUGUGCAAGAAGAGUGCCUGAGGACUCGUUAAUCAACUCUUAAAUCUUUCAUCAACGUGGAAGAGGAACAAGAAAAAAGCUAAUAUGUUGGAGAGAAAGUGAAUGAGGAAGAAAGAAGAAUCUGAUUAGGGCUAUGUCUCGUUUCUGGCAGACUCCAGCUGGAAGAACUGGGAAACAUCUUACCUUUACCUUUACGUAUUCUCUGAUAUUUGAAUUUCUGAAUUUUGGCUACAUAUCACAAUUUAAAGGACUAUAAAGGUUAUAUUAUCUAAGUGACUUUAUAUUUAUCUAAAAAAGUAAUGGAACACCAGAAUUUUUUACCAGGGCAGGGAAAAACUAGCUUUACUGCACAAAUGCAAAGGGAUAAUGAGAAUAGAAAAUAAAGUUAUAAUUUUUUAUUCUAUCUCAAUAAUCAUAUUUGUGCUACAUAAUUUUUUGUUUGCUCCAUAUAACUUGUUAAAAACAAGUUAAAAACAAGAUAUGCAUAUGAAAACAAGUUAUACAUGCAUAAUAAAGAUUGGGUCAAUAUAUAUUAAAAUGUUAACAGGUUGGAUAGCAUGGGUAACAAUUUUUUUUCUUGUCAAG